AGAGUUUGAUCCUGGCUCAGGACGAACGCCGGCGGCGUGCUUAACACAUGCAAGUCAUGGGGGUCCGCAAGGACAACCGACGAACGGGUGCGUAACACGUGAGCAACCUACCGAGAUGUGGGGGAUAGCCGGCCCAACGGCCGGGUAAUACCGCAUACGAUCAUCGAGGGGAGUCCCUUGAUGAGGAAACUCGUAAGAGGCAUUUCGAGGGGCUCGCGGCCUAUCAGCUAGUUGGCGGGGUAAUGGCCUACCAAGGCAACGACGGGUAGCUGGUCUGAGAGGAUGGCCAGCCACAUUGGGACUGAGAAACGGCCCAGACUCCUACGGGAGGCAGCAGUGGGGAAUCUUGCGCAAUGGUCGAGAGACUGACGCAGCGACGCCGCGUGUGGGAGGACGCCCUUCGGGGUGUAAACCACUGUUGCCCGGGACGAACAAGCGAUUUCGAUCGCUCUGACGGUACCGGGUGAGGAAGCACCGGCUAACUCCGUGCCAGCAGCCGCGGUAAUACGGAGGGUGCGAGCGUUGUCCGGAAUCACUGGGCGUAAAGGGCGCGUAGGUGGCGCGGGAAGUCAACGGUGAAAGUUCAGGGCUCAACCCUGAAUCGGCCGUCGAUACUCCCGGGCUUGAGCACUGUAGAGGCAGGUGGAAUUCCGGGUGUAGCGGUGGAAUGCGUAGAGAUCCGGAAGAACACCGGUGGCGAAGGCGGCCUGCUGGGCAGUUGCUGACACUGAUGCGCGACAGCGUGGGGAGCAAACAGGAUUAGAUACCCUGGUAGUCCACGCCGUAAACGAUGGGCACUAGAUGCUUGGGGGAGCGACCCCCUGAGUGUCAGCGCUAACGCAUUAAGUGCCCCGCCUGGGGAGUACGGCCGCAAGGCUGAAACUCAAAGGAAUUGACGGGGCCCGCACAAGCGGUGGAGCAUGUGGUUUAAUUCGACGCAACGCGAAGAACCUUACCUAGGCUUGACAUGCACGGGGAACCCUU
rnacentral:rRNA from 1 species